AGAAAGGUAAGCUAAGAUAAGCUUUUAGGUUCAUACCCUGAAAAUAGAAUUAAGUUCUUCUUUCUA
rnacentral:tRNA from 1 species